AAAUACAGGUUUUUAGAAAUGUUGAAAUACCUUUUUUACGUAAGUAUUCAGACCCUUUGCUAUGAGACUGGAAAUUAGCUCCUGUUCAUCCUGUUUCCACUGAUCAUCCUUGAGAUGUUUCUGCAACAUGACUGGAAUCCACCAGUUGUAUUUUCAACUGAUUGGACAUGAUUUGGAAAGGCACACACCUGUCUAUAUAAGGUCCCACAGUUGACAGUUCAUGUCAGAGCAAACAACAAACCAUGAGGUUGAAGGAAUUCUCCGUAGAGCUCCGAAACAGGAUUGUGUCGCGGCACAAAUCUGGGGAAGGGUACAAAAGCUCUCCUCAACAUUGAAGGUCCCCAAGAACGCACUGUUCUCCAUCAUCAUCAUUCUUAAAUGGAAGAUGUUUGGAACCACCAAGACUCUUCCUAGAGCUGGCCGCCCAGCCAAACUGAGCAAUCGGGGGAGAAGGGUAAAGGGUCUGGAUUCUUAUGUAAAUGUGAUAUUUCACAUUUUAUUUGUAAUGAAUUUGGAACAAUUCUGUUUUUGCUUUGCCAUUAUGGGCUAUUGUGUGUAGAUUGAUGAGGGAAAAAAAUGAUUUAUUACAUUUUUGAAUUAGGCUGUAAGGUAACAAAAUGUGGAAAAGGUGAAGGGGUCUGAAUACUUUCCGAAUGCACUGUAUAUGUGAUGUAUAAGUAAAUAGCGUUGACUCAUAAAGUAUGUAUGUCGUGAAUGUGAUCACUUUCAACAUGUCUGUUUCUUUUCUCCCGCAGAAUGUGAGAGAUGUGACCAACCGUCCACUCACUGAGUUCAUGGCUCCCUGUAUUGACUCCCUCCCACCGCUGGCUUUCACCAAUCGGAGGCCUAUACCAACCAUGUUACAUCCCCCCUCUCCAUUGGCCAUACGCACUCAGGAUGCACAGCGGUUCAUUGUAUUUUCAUACUUUGUCCCUGCUGAGUGCCCAGUUGCCACAGCAGAUGUAUCCACUGGUAAAAGAGAGGACUUAUUGACAGAUACGUAUCUUUCCUCAAUGCUGCAUCGACACCUGCCACACUUCUUUAACGAUGACUCCAUUCCACCACAGCAGACAGUAGAGGGAACCACUGAGCUCUCAGUUGCUCCAGUGGCAAUAUCUAAUAUAAAGGAAGAGGACAGAUUCUAUCCUUUCUCACUCCCACCACUGGCUCAGCGGUUCGUUGGCAAUUCAUUUAUUGUCCCAGAAACCUCCCAGCCUGCUGUUUCAGCCACAGAGUGCCGAGUUGCCAAAGAGGCCACUGCAGACACAGCCACUGUCAAGAGAGAGAACCGAUGGGCAGCCAGAAGUCUUCCUUCAGUGCUGCCUCCAUGCCUGCCACCAGUCUUUGACGAUGACUUCAUGCCUCCAGAGCAGACAGUAGAGGAUGCCUAUGAGGUCUCAGGUGCUACAGAGAACACUUCAGGCACAGCUACUGUUGAUGGAGUGGACAGAUCAACAGCUAAAUGCCCUGUCCCAAUGCUGCCUCCAAGUUUGCCACCUGUCUUUGACAAUGACUACAAACUGCCAGAGGAGGCAGUAGAGGGAACCAACAAGUGUCCAGUCGCCAGUGAAUCUGCCGCUUCCGUGUCCGCUGUCCACCAAGAGGAGUUUUCAGCUGAUAAGAGUCUUCCUGCACCCGCAGCACUGCCUCUAAGGCUGCCCUGCACCCACAGCAUUGACCACAAACAGCUGUGGGAGAAAGUUGAGGACAACACAGAGUUCUCAGUAGACAAAGAAGCAACUGUUGCCAUUUACACUUGGGAAGAUAAAAGUCCUUCAGUUCUGCCAUGCAUCCACAACAACAACGACCACCAUCUGCCAGAGGAGACAGUUGAGGACAACACAGAGUGCUCAGUUGACACCGAGGCAAGUGCAGUUGCAUCCACUGUCAAGAGAGAGGAACUGACAGGUGAUAAAAGCCCUGUCCGAACAAUUCCUCCAAUCCUGGGAUGCAUCCAUGACAAGGACCACAAGGAGUCAGAGCAGAAAGUGAAGGGCCCUAGUGAAGAGGUGGAUCUCUGCCCUCACGCUCACCAGCUGGACCCAGAUGUUAACUUAACUCUGGCAACCCGCAAUGAUGAACCCAGGACCUGGACCCUGGAAGAGGCAAAGGAUUAUUGGAUAGGCAUUGAAAUUGAGAGUGAAGAGAGGAGCGUCAAGGAGGAGGUGAGACAGAGGGAGGGAUUGAAGCGUGAGGCGGACUGUGCCCAUUCCAUGAGCUCCAAUGGGAUGGCUUCAUCAGAGAGAGCAGAGACUAUCCUUGGAAGAGUGGGCUUUCUGGUCAUGAACCACAUGCAGAAAAUCCCAUUUUUGAAGAUGAAGGAAAAAGAGAAAAAUAAGAAACUGCAUAAGAAGUUGAAAGAUGAUGAGAAAGAGAGAAAGGAGAAGAAAAACAAGGAGGAGGAGAACAAAAAGAGGGAGAAGAAAGAGAUGAAUGAGAGAGAGAAAGAGCAGAAGAAAGUCAUGAAGGCUGAGAAAAAGAGGGAGAAGUUAGAACAGAAAAAGAGAGAGAAGGAAAGAAAAGAGAAGGAAAAGGCAGAGAAAAAGAGGUUAGAGGGGCUGAUGAAGAUACAUAAUGACAUGAUGAAAGACAGGAUUAAGAAAGAGAAGAGGUGUUCUGAGGAGCUGAAAAAGAGAGAGAAAGCUCAAGCUGAGUUCUUGGAGAUGGAGAGAAAGAUUCAAGAAAAGGAGGAGAAGAAGAGAGAAAAGAGGAGGAAAGAGGAGAGGAAGAGACUAGAGAAUAAGAAAAAGAGGGAGCCAGCUGGAGGUGGAACUGAGAGGGUGAUAGAAUAG
rnacentral:lncRNA from 1 species